rnacentral:lncRNA from 1 species
AUGGACAACGUAACUAGUUGGGAAAGAGUUGGGGGCAACAUGGCUUGGCUGGGUCAUCUUCAGUGGUUUAGAGUGGCGUUCCCAACCUUGGAGCAAAUGUCAACUUUAUGGGUCCAAUAUACAUACUCAAGUGUGGCAGUCCUGUGUAAUCACCUGGUGAAUUUUUGUAUGGAAUCAGAAGAGACCCCGAAUCGCUAAGGAAAUGCUGAAAAACAAAAAUAAAACUGGGGGUAUCACGUGACCCGAUUUCAAGCUUUAAUACAAAGCUGUGAUCACCAAGACAGCAUGGUACUGGCAUAAAAACAGACACAUAGACCAGUGGAACAGAGUAGAGAGCCCAGAUAUGGACCCUCA